UAUUGAUUUUAAUGAAUCUGAAGUUCGUAGGGUCAAAAAAGUAAACAUACUGUGAACAUUAUUUGGAAAGAAUUAUAGUAUCCCACAAAUUUCGCAGCUACCGAAUCUGUAGGAGGUUUUCGAUCGUUUUGAUGGAUUUGGACUAUAGCUAUGUGUUUCUUAUUGAUAUUAUCACGGAGGAUGUUAGGUUAGUGAGUUAUUGUGUGACUUCCGCCGUCGUCGAAAUCUCAUUCAACAAUUUCUGCAUUCGCCGGUCAGCCACUUACAUUCAAUCAUCACUUUUCCCUUUCUCGUUCACAAAAAUCGCCGACAACCACAUAUAACUCACAUCUGAUAGCUGCCAUCUACUCCAGACACACCAAGUGACUCGUCAAUUUCUCCAGGCAAAAAAUGCAAGAAAUUGAUUAAUCAUCACUGAACAAAUAUAAACAAAGUUUGAUGAUGAGACUAAGCAUUGCUCUGGAGAUGUGGUUGGGGUUACAACGAAGAAAAAAGGGUUGCAAAAAACUAGCAAAUUGAGGUCCCCGUUUGUUCAACGUGAAGUUUGCGCAUCCAAGCGGUUGAGAAAACAAGAAAGAGAAAUAGCGCUAUACAGCAUGCAUUCAGCUAUGCUGAACGGGUAUGCUGUUUUGUGAAGAAGAAAAUAAUUACUGUUUUAUAUUUGCGGUUUCAUUUUUUCUUUAAUCGAUGUAGGCUUGAGAUACUAAUUGUACAUGACGGUGUUGAGCUGAACAAAUAUGAGUUCGAAUCUCUUCGUAGCGGGUGCAUUGUUGAUAGAA